rnacentral:rRNA from 1 species
AAUGAACGUUGGCGGCGUGGAUUAGGCAUGCAAGUCGAGCGAGAAUCGGUCUUCGGAUCGAGGACAGCGGCGAACGGGGUAGGAAUACCUCGGUGACGUACCCCCAGGUCGGGGAUAGCGGCGGGAAACUGCCGGUAAUACCCGAUGACCUUUCCAAGUUUUACGACAGGGGAAGCAAAGGUGUGAUUCCGUCUGGGGAGCGGGUGAGGUCGUAUUAGCUGGUUGGUGAGGUAAUGGCUCACCAAGGCAAUGAUGCGUAGGGGGUGUGAGAGCAUGGCCCCCACCACUGGCACUGAGACACUGGCCAGACACCUACGGGUGGCUGCAGUCGAGAAUCUUCGGCAAUGGGCGCAAGCCUGACCGAGCGACGCCGCGUGCGGGAUGAAGGUCUUCGGAUUGUAAACCGCUGUCGGAGGGGAUGAAGUGCAGGGGGGUACUCCCCCCUGUUUGACAGAGCCUCGGAGGAAGCACGGGCUAAGUUCGUGCCAGCCGCCGCGGUAAUAC